GUGUGGCUAAGCUGUCACUUAUGCCACAAGAUGGAAGCAGAGGAGCCUCACCCUGUAGCUACUACCAACCGAGGCCAUGGAGACCUUUCCAGAGUGGAAUCUCAGGAGGAAGAGUCUAGAAGUUUCAUCAUUUGUGAACGGAAUCAAACCUAUGUGUCUGCUCCACCCAGACUGGAAUGCCAGUUUCUUGAGUUUGAUAUUUUAGAGUUAAGGAGUGAUGUUUAUUUACUUUAUCAGUUUUCCUGAAAUAUUUGGACUCCAGGAUGGGGGAGGGUGGCAGGAGGGGGGAGGGAGGAAGGAAAAGGGGGAAAAUAACUUACUUUAAUGGUGUGUCAACUCUGAAACCAACUCUAGGAAAGUUGCUUUUCCACAUACUACUUCAUUUAAACCUCAUACAAUGUUAGGAGGUUUGCAUCAUCACCCUCAUGUUAAAGAGGCAAAUUAAGAGGCUUAGAGCUGAUCAGACCUUCCCCAAGGCCACACAGCAAAUAGUUGCUAAAGUCCAGAUCUGAGCCUUGGUUGAUUUCAAUAUUAUGCCACAAUGCCU
rnacentral:lncRNA from 10 species